rnacentral:rRNA from 1 species
AGAAUCAACGCUGGCGGCGUGCCUAACACAUGCAAGUCGAACGAGAAAGUGGAGCAAUCCAUGAGUAAAGUGGCGCACGGGUGAGUAACACGUGACUAACCUACCCUUGAGUGGGGGAUAACCUAGGGAAACCUGGGCUAAUACCGCAUAAUACCUUCGGGUCAAAGGAGCAAUUCGCUUAAGGAGGGGGUCGCGGCCGAUUAGUUAGUUGGCGGGGUAAUGGCCCACCAAGACUAUGAUCGGUAUCCGGCCUGAGAGGGCGCACGGACACACUGGAACUGAAACACGGUCCAGACUCCUACGGGAGGCAGCAGUGGGGAAUUUUGCGCAAUGGGGGAACCCUGACGCAGCAACGCCGCGUGGAGGAUGAAGUCCCUUGGGACGUAAACUCCUUUCGAUCGGGACGAUUAUGACGGUACCGAGAGAGAAGCCCGGCUAACUUCGCGCCAGCAGCCGC